AACGGUCUAUACCUGCGGUACCUGCGGAGGGAUCAUUACCGAGUUAUCAACUCCCAAACCCCUGUGAACAUACCCGAACGUUGCCUCGGCGGGACCGCCCCGGCGCCCCUAGCGGCCCGGAACCAGGCGCCCGCCGGAGGACCCAAACUCUUGCUUUAAACAGUGGCAUACUCUCUGAGUCUCACAAACAAAAAAUAAACCAAAACUUUCAACAAUGGAUCUCUAGAUCGGAAGAGCACA
rnacentral:misc_RNA from 1 species